rnacentral:rRNA from 1 species
AUGGGGGGACCAUCCUCCAAGGCUAAAUACUACUGACUGACCGAUAGUGAACCAGUACCGUGAGGGAAAGGCGAAAAGAACCCCUGUGAGGGGAGUGAAAUAGAACCUGAAACCGUGUACGUACAAGCAGUAGGAGCACCUUCGUGGUGUGACUGCGUACCUUUUGUAUAAUGGGUCAGCGACUUAAUUUUAGUAGCAAGGUUAACCGUUUAGGGGAGCCGUAGGGAAACCGAGUCUUAACUGGGCGUACAGUUGCUAGGAUUAGACCCGAAACCAGGUGAUCUAGCCAUGGGCAGGUUGAAGGUUGAGUAACAUCAACUGGAGGACCGAACCGACUAAUGUUGAAAAAUUAGCGGAUGACUUGUGGCUAGGGGUGAAAGGCCAAUCAAACCUGGAGAUAGCUGGUUCUCCCCGAAAGCUAUUUAGGUAGCGCCUCGGACGAAUACUACUGGGGGUAGAGCACUGUUAAGGCUAGGGGGUCAUCCCGACUUACCAACCCUUUGCAAACUCCGAAUACCAGUAAGUACUAUCCGGGAGACACACGGCGGGUGCUAACGUCCGUCGUGGAGAGGGAAACAACCCAGACCGCCAGCUAAGGUCCCAAAGUAUAGCUAAGUGGGAAACGAUGUGGGAAGGCUCAGACAGCCAGGAUGUUGGCUUAGAAGCAGCCAUCAUUUAAAGAAAGCGUAAUAGCUCACUGGUCGAGUCGGCCUGCGCGGAAGAUGUAACGGGGCUAAGCUAUACACCGAAGCUGCGGCUACGUACCUUAGGGUAUGUGGGGUAGGGGAGCGUUCUGUAAGCCGUUGAAGGUG